CCUGCUGUAAUCAUGCGUAUCAACAAACGGAUGAAAUCCAGCAGAAAUGGCUUUAGAUAUGGCCUGUGUGAAAUCGUCAGGAAUUGGAAUUUGGGUGGUCUCAGAUAGCCCUACCAUUCUGAAGCCCACUAGAGAAUGGCACCAUGGAGGGUUAUGACCCCAAAAGUUUUGCUUGCUCUAUUUUGACCACCAGAGUCGAGCUGUUUGGGAAUGCAGCUCUAAGGUGGAUGACAUCCAGAGCUAAUAUCGGCGACAACCCGAAAGCAAAAAACACCAGUGAUG
rnacentral:ncRNA from 1 species